rnacentral:lncRNA from 1 species
UUGGGGAUGAGAUCGCAAGCUGCGGGCUCGAGCUCGUAGCAGGUGUUGGCUUAGUCAACAGCUUGGCUUCGGCUGCUGCGCUCAAGACCCUUCGCGAACAUUCGAAGAAGAUCUUCUGCGUUUUUAGGUCGAUUGCAAAACUCCAUGAGAAUUCAUCUUUCCUCCACGCGGGUAUAUCGUCGGAUAGGCUGGUUAUCUGCCCAUUUGUUACACUUCCUGCAAUUUUUCAAACUAGUUAACAAAAUGUACAAUUUCAUCCAUCAUUAUGUGUCAAAAAUUAGUUCAUUAAUUCAAUUUUCAAUGUUUAACCAAAAAAAAAAAACUGUAUAUGGGCCAACUUUUGAAAUAAUUUACAAAAUAGCAAAAAAAAAAAAAAAAAGAAAUAUAGAAUUUUCAUAAAAGUUGUAAAAAGUGCCUAAUUAUACUAAGAGAGACCCCAUAGUUAACUUGUAUUUCAACUGGAAUUGAAUGUUGUUCUAAGUUGUAAAAAAUUGAAAAAGUCUGCAUCUUGAAUACGGUGUUCACUAUAUAAACCACGCCCUUUCAACUUUAUGUUGAUAGAGAAUUUGCAUAUCAUAUAUACAUAACGUACCAACUUCGGACUUUCUGCAUCAUAGUUUGAGCACAACAUAUAAGUCCAUACCCUUAAUUAUUACAACUUUCGUUCAUGAAUGCUCACUUGUUUAUUUAUUUAUUUUAGUUCAUGCCAUAAACUACAAUUAUUGUAAUAAAAAUAUGGGUUAAUUAUAUAUAAAUUAUGGAAUUAUUAAAAAAAACAUCAAUUUGAGCACUAAUUUCAAAAUUUGUAUUAAAAUUAUUUAAUUAAUAAUUUUUUCUCAUUUUACUAUCUCGCUAAUUUUCCUGUCAAACUUAAUUAGUGCUAAUUAAAGUGCCAUCUAAAAUGAUGCUAUUUCGCUCAUUUUGCUAUUUUUGCAAACUGGCGACAUUUUAGAAAUCAACGGAGUUGGACAUGUUGGAUUUCAAACGACCACUUCAACUUUAAGUUUGGCCGGAAAGUGAGUGAUAUAGUAAAAUGAAUUAAAAAAAAAAUGAUAAUUUAAUUAAAUUUAAANAUAUCGCUAUUAAAUAUAUAUAUAUAUAUAUAUAUAUAUAUAUAUAUAGGGAGAGGUUCAAGAAAGAACCAUAAAUAAAAGAAGACCGGAGAACCAUUUUCAGCCAUUCGAUCAUCAAGAUCUAUGGUGGAUGCAUCAUCUUGUUGGAUGAAUGCAGAUCCUGGGUUCGAAUCCUGAAGGGAGCAAUUUUAUUUUAUUUUUUGAGUGCAUUAAUUUUAACAGCGAAUGCAUAUAUAUAUAUAUAUAUAUAUAUAUUAGAUUUGAUGGUUCUCCCGUUCUCACAAAUAAAUGUAGUUCUCUCUAGAACCACACCCUAUAUAUAUAUAUAAAUAUUCAUCUCUCUCUAUAUAAUAUAUAUGUAAUGUACGUAUUUAUAUGCAUGUGUACAAGGGGUAAAAUUGACGGGUAUUACAAUAUUUUGUAUUUUGAUUCAAUGGAGGCCGCUCCAAUGAGACCCCCUAAUUUUAGUGAGAUUUAGGGCACGAUCUGGUGCGUUUAUUUUAUCAAUCCUAUGGCUGAUACUGUAUCUGGAGGGUGAUUUUUUUUCGCGGGGUUCGAAUCCUGAAGGGAGUAGAAUAUUUUAAAUUUGUUAUUCAUCAGUAUAUACUUCAAUGUUCAUCAGUAUAUAUGGCCAUGUUCAUCAGUAUAUAUAUCUUAUUCAUUACAAAUUUAUAAAAAAAAAAAAUUAUCAGUAUAUACAUCUUGUUCAUUAGAUAUACGUUUUGUUCAUUAGUAUUAUAUGUCUUAUUCAUUGUACUCAUGUUACACGAAAAAUAGGGGGUCUCACCGGAGCGCGUCCCUUGAUUCAAUUAUGUAAAUAUUAAAAGAAAUGAUGAGUGAUCGUGAUAAUUUAUAUAUCCAUGGCAUCAAUAAUAAUAAAACAAUUUAAAAAGUAAUUAAUAGAAAAUUAAAAACAACAUACACCGUAAAUACAUAUAUCUCAUAAAGUGAACAUUACAAGAAAAUAAUAGAUAAGCAACACACAAAACAACAUGAUGCAUGAUUCAAUCAAAUCACAAAAAUUGAGAAUAAUCAUAAAUUUCGAAACGCAACAUUAACCAUAAUCAACGUAUUUUCCUAAGAUGAUCAAUGAACUUCAUCAUAUUCUUGUAAGAAGAGCCCCCUUCACCAACACUCUCCGCAGUUAUCUCCUUCAACCUCGUUGCAUUUUCCUUAAAACCAUCAUCACAAAAAAGCAUAUCAAUCUUCUCCAUAAUUUCAUGCCUCAACCUAAUCCCAUUCUCAUCAGGAUCAAUCCUCAACCCAAUCUCCCAUUUAUCACAUAUAUACUUCUGGUUAUGAAAUUGGUCCGAAAAAUAAGGCCAACACAAAAAGGGCAAACCCCGACUCAGUCCCUCGAGAGUCGAGUUCCACCCACAGUGCGACAAAAAACACGCGACGGAAGGAUGAGAAAGAACCUCCUCCUGAGGCGCCCACUCAACAAUCUUCCCAACCUCACCCACUCUCUCCACGAAACCAUCCGGGAACACGGCCCGCGACCCGUUGGCGAGAUCCGACCUCACGACCCACAGAAAGGCCCGGCCCGACAUCUCGAGGCCGAGCGCCAGCUCGUCCAGCUGCUGCUGAGAGAAAACGGCCAAGCUGCCGAAGGAAACAUAGAUGACGGAUUUAGGUGGUUUACUAUCCAACCAGGUCAAACAAGAAGGAUCUUCGCGGUGGAAGUUGCAGGAGGAGGUGAUGGAUUUCGGGCCGUCGGGCUCGAAUAGAGUCAACGGGCCGACCGGCAGGAUGUUGGGGAUGAGAUCGCAAGCUGCGGGCUCGAGCUCGUAGCAGGUGUUGCUUAUCAACAGCUUGGCUUCGGCUGCUGCGCUCAAGACCCUUCGCGAACAUUCGAAGAAGAUCUUCUGCGUUUUUAGGUCGAUUGCAAAACUCCAUGAGAAUUCAUCUUUCCUCCACGCGGGUAUAUCGUCGGAUAGGCUGGUUAUCUGCCCAUUUGUUACACUUCC